UAGAUAGGCUGGAAGUGGAAGUGCAGCGAUGCAUGGAGCGGACCAGUACUAAUCGGUCGAGGACUUAACCAAG
rnacentral:rRNA from 1 species